CGACCGGCGCACGGGUGCGUAACGCGUAUGCAACCUACCUUUAACAGGGGGAUAACACUGAGAAAUUGGUACUAAUACCCCAUAAUAUCAUAGAAGGCAUCUUUUAUGGUUGAAAAUUUCGAUGGUUAGAGAUGGGCAUGCGUUGUAUUAGCUAGUUGGUGGGGUAACGGCUCACCAAGGCGACGAUACAUAGGGGGACUGAGAGGUUAACCCCCCACACUGGUACUGAGACACGGACCAG
rnacentral:rRNA from 1 species